rnacentral:tRNA from 2 species
GGGCCGUUAGCUCAAUUGGUAGAGCAACUGACUCUUAAUCAGUAGGUUUGGGGUUCGAGCCCCCGACGGCCCACCA